UGCAUGGAAAAUGCUGCUGUCGAGUACCAUGAUUUGUGUGGGCAUUCAGAUUUUAACAAUUGGUAGGGGGUUGAGUCAUGUACCCAUAUAGCUCAACCAUCACACUAGCUAGCUUCCCCUUUCAUUAUUAAUUUGAUCCUGCAAUAAUUCAUCACAUCGAAAUGGUUUCACUUACACAUGUAACCUGAAGGCCCAACGGGAUAUGUAUGCAGAAUGUGAGCAUAGACAUGCAAUGGAUGCGUUUGGAAUUUCAGGAAUGCGAGAGUGCAGUGCUGUGAGCCGAUGAUGGUCAUAGCUCUGAUUGUGCAGUCCCCUUGGAAGGUAUGACGUACCGUAGGGUUCUAAAACAUAACUUUCCUUUUUUCUUUAGAGUGUACAGCAUGACCCAUCAUGAGUGGCCGAGUGGGCCACCUAGGUCACAUUUGUUGACAAAUCAAUGCGGUGAUGAUAUACGCUUGUCACAAAUUACUGCACAUGGUCACAUUGUACAACUUCAAAGAUGCAAAAAGCUCUAUAUAUAAAUACUGGUACCUAUUAUUAAUUUUUUUUGGCCGAACUGUGUAGCAGCAUAUAUGGAGAGAAAGAGUGAAACUAUGAAGGACCUCAACUAUCACAAGCUCAGUGAAAAUUCAUAUCCUAAAAGCCUCCAUACAUGAUGAUGAGUCUUGGGAAUUGGAGGCUCUAGGAACUGAACAGCAACGUGAGGUCGAAUUCUAUCCAUUUUGCGUGCAACCACAGUAGCAGACCACGCAUGCAAUAGUCUUAAUUAGGAGGAUCUCCAAGUCACUUUGGCAUCUUGGGAAGGCAGAGCAUGGAAAGAAAUGAAUUUGAUGAGCCAUCGAGAACCAUUCGAAAAUGUAGAGCUCAAUUCGUCGUAGUGCAAAUGAUGCUACAGCCCUCCUUGAUCGAUCUAGCUGUUCAUGGCUUCAUGCUGAUGGGAGUAGUAGUAACAUGGAUCCAUAGGACAUAGGGCCAGCCGGCCGGUCCUGCCAGUUGUGGACAGUACAUUGUCUUGUCCAACAUUUUUGUUGCAUUUCAAGACCAGCCAAACCAAAUGUUGGAGCAAUGAAAUGUCGUGCAACAUCUCCUCUUGAUAGGGAUUAAACAAAUAUGCAUGCACCUACCUAGAAGCAAUUUCUAAGUAAAUUUCAAUGGAACACGUUAAAUUGUGCAUGUGCAAAAUUCUAUAUACAUACUAUUGACACCGAAAAUUGGUUCCAUGCCAAUACACAUUGGAGCACCUUUCAUUCUUUCAACCUGUGGUGGCACCCGGAGAUUCAUCGCCAUAUAGGGGCAGACGCCGUUGAACGAUCACUUGGGAGAAACCCCAUUAGUGUGAAACCGGUUUAUCCUAGGAUCGAUAUAGGGGAUGUCCUAAAAUAUCAUAGAGACGAGAGACGAGGGAGUUUGGGGGAUUUGAGGGUUAAUAGAUAGGCAAAAUUUAUCAUAGGAUACUUAAUGUUUAAUGUUUGUUGUCUUUACUGCUAGACAUCCAAAAAAUAUGAUACGGCUCGUGGAUAUUCUAAAAACUUGAUAAUUUGCUAGAGGACAACGAUACCAUUAUUUUAUUAUUUCCGAAACAAAUGGAGAGAGAAACAGCAUUAAAAAGAAAAGUUAGCCCCUCCUCCUACAUGGAACUCUGGAAGUUGAUCAGAACCUACCCAUCGUGUCCGUGCAUGAGAAAAUUUACAUUUGAAAUGAGGCUAUUUCUCAGCAAAUCGAAGAGAAAUUAUUACAGAACAGAGCAUUCUGUAAUCUAAGGACAUUGCUUCUCAUUUGGGUUUUUCCAAUGAUCAGUGACUUUCUCAUAUACUUGGAUUA